UCCCGUUUAGCUCAGCUGGUAGAGCGCGUCACUAGUAUCGUACUAGACAAAUGACGAGGUCAGUCGUUCAAGUCGGCUAAUGGGAA